rnacentral:lncRNA from 1 species
UUGGUUCUUUUGUCGUGCCCAGCUCUUAAUGAUGGAAAACCCUGUAUCACAGUAACAUUCCUUUAAAUGAACUGGAGAAGUCUUGAUUACAAUAAUCAUAUUGCUUUUUACUUUUCAACACUAUUGGAUCUUGUGUCAUACCAGCUUUAGAUGGUGGAUGGAGUAUAUGGAGGUGUUAAGAAUUGCACAAGAGGUGUUCCUGCUACCUCUCUAUAUGUAGACAAUGUCACUGUUGUUGUGACGUUCUCAUUUCUAAGCCUUAAUUUAUGUCCGUUACAACGCCCUUAGGGAGAAAAACUACACCCUCAAAUGGACUGUAGAAGUCCAGAUUACAAUAAUGGUACUUUCAGCACCAUUGCACGGUUUGGUUGUCUUGCCCAGCUCUUAAUGGUCCAAAAUGCUGUACAAUGGAUUAUGUUUUAAAAAUUGAAGAUAAAAGAUUAAGUUUUGAAUAUCUUCUUUUUUUCUCUGAAGAUGGCAAAUCAAAUUAUUAAUUCACGAGCUCUAGAUAAUAAAAAUAUCAGGUGUUAAAGUUUGGAGGUAUAAAACAAGUCAUUCUCAAUCAAAAUAUUGCAAAAUUGUAAUGUUAGUGGAUUUUCUCAUUGUUGAAGCCCAUACAGUAACCUAUUUUACAUUAACAUCAUUUGGUCUCUGUAGGAUAGUUGUCUCACAUCUCUUGAUAUCACAACAAAUCAAUUUGUAGGUUCUAUAAAGUGGUCCAAUCCUAUGGUGAAGGGAGGGGGAAUUUUGACUGCCAACCGAGGAGGAUAUUUUUGGACAGAAAUUUAGCCUAUUAAUGCAACAAGCCACAUCCUACUGACACCUCAAAAGAGUUGUGACAAGGGUUCUUUAACGUGCAGAGUGGCACUGUCUGUCCCUACAAAUAGGACCUAUACUUUCCCGCUACCUCUAUGUGUAGACAACAUCACUGUUGUUGUGACAUUCUUAUUUCUAAGCCUUAAUUUAUGUCCGUUACAACGCCCUUAGGGAGGAAAUAGUAGCAGAUAUUACUACACCCUCAAAUGGAUUGUAGAAGUCCAGUUUACAAUAAUGGUACUUUCAGCACCAUAACCCGCUUUGGUUGUCUUGUCCAGCUCUUAAUGGUCCAAAAUGCUGUACAAUGGAUUAUGAUUUAAAAAUUGAAGAUAAAAGAUUAAGUUUUGAAUAUAUCUACUUUUUUUCUUUGAAGAUGGCAAAUCAAAUUAUUAAUUCAUUAAAAAUUCAGAAUAACUCAAAUCUUUACACCACACAAACGCGCCAACAAAGAAUGUGCAAUGAAAAGAAUUGAGUUAUUGUUUGAAACAUCAAAAAUGUUAAAGUUUCACGCAUUGUUUUUUAUUUGAACAGCAAUUUUCAGAUCUCAGGACAAGUUUUCUUUGGAACACACUCAGGACAAGUUAUCUUUGGAAGACAUUAUAAAUUUCUGUUUUGCAAAAGAUUAAAAGUUUUGGAUACUUUCUUUUUUUCUUUGAAGAUAACAAAUCUAAUUAUUAAUUCAUUAAAAAUUCAGACUAACCCAAUUGUUUACACCACACAAACUUUCCGGAGGUAACAUAUUUAUUUUUUGUCCAUUCUUUUUUCUUUCUUUUUUUCUUUUUUUUAAAAUAUACUGCAGUGCCAACAAAGAAUGUGCAAUGACAAGAAAUGUUAUUGUUUGAAAAUCAAAAAUGUUAAAUGUUCACACAUUGUUUUUUUAUUUGAACAGCAAUUUUCAGAUCUCAGGACAAGUUUUCUUUGGAACACAUUAUAAAUUUUUGUUUUUUCAAAUGAUUUCAACUGACAUAAAUCAGACUGGAAAGGUCGAAAUUACCAAAAUGCUAAUUUCACUAUUAUUGGUUCUUUUGUCGUGCCCAGCUCUUAAUGAUGGAAAACCCUGUAUCACAGUAACAUUCCUUUAAAUGAACUGGAGAAGUCUUGAUUACAAUAAUCAUAUUGCUUUUUACUUUUCAACACUAUUGGAUCUUGUGUCAUACCAGCUUUAGAUGGUGGAUGGAGUAUAUGGAGGUGUUCCUGCUACCUCUCUAUAUGUAGACAACGUCACUGUUGUUGUGACGUUCUUAUUUCUAAGCCUUAAUUUAUGUCCGUUACAACGCCCUUAGGGAGAAAAACUACACCCUCAAAUGGACUGUAGAAGUCCAGAUUACAAUAAUGGUACUUUCAGCACCAUUGCACGGUUUGGUUGUCUUGCCCAGCUCUUAAUGGUCCAAAAUGCUGUACAAUGGAUUAUGUUUUAAAAAUUGAAGAUAAAAGAUUAAGUUUUGAAUAUCUUCUUUUUUUCUCUGAAGAUGGCAAAUCAAAUUAUUAAUUCA